GUGAGAUGCAAACCAGGUAAAGGUCAGUAUUGGCGCUCCAUAGCCCACAUCCCUUUCAUAUGGUUGGGAGACAAGAGAAUUCAAGCUCCGUGAUUACAACUGAUACAAGAGAAAACAGUUAGAAUCUGAAAUUGUAAUAUUCCCUUCCAGCAGACAUGUUUUCAGAGCUUGGUGCACUUCAUUGCCAUUGUAGCUGCAGAAAUCAAUAUUAAUCAGUAAAACCUUUUUACCUUCAUGAGUUCUGCAAACUAGGGCAGUAUUUUACAACGACAACAGCUUGGAGGUCAAUAUUUGAUUUGU